CCCAGACAGCAUCAACACGAAUCAAACUCGACGCAGACCACAACCUACACCUCCCCUACAACCACUAGACAAGGCUGGUACCACUCAGGACCACCCAUAUCCACGACAUUAUAGUCAUCUGCUGCGAAGUGGGACUCAUGCCCCAGGCCCCUAAGCGACAAAGGGCGACUCAGCCUGGCAUCACCUAGGCAACCACAGCCUAGGCCAUAACCCUAGGCCCUCUACUAUUCAAAUUCAGCUAAUUUCUCUGACUUGUUAAUCUCGUUACCCUUGCCUCCCACAUGCACAGGGGUAAUUAAAAACAAGCUACACAAUAGCCAAGGCCUGCAUGCACUAAUGUACGUAUACCUCGAACCUCUAAAUAACACAAAUGUUUGCCCCCAACACACACCCAACAACGCGCAAACAGAGCACAUUGCAUGCCAGUAAGACACACAGAGAUCAACACCAACAGUGUAGAGCCUACCUAAUGAACUGACGCUACUUUAAUGCCUUGUAACAAUGUAUGAUAAACACGCAUCAGACAAUUGAAACAUGACCGACCUUGCUAAACCACACACUAACAUAAAAUUGUGCAAGUAUUAACAUGUACCCCACUGUUACAACUGUUUAUGAAAAAGUACGUGGAUAGCCUUUGAGGUACCACAUACGCGUUUUGUUUUAAAAAAUAAAUAAAUAAAAAAACGUCCCAGAGAACGCAUUAAAUUAUUUGUAAACCGAGGUCCCACUGUAUAUUAAUAUCAAAAUACAGUUAGAACAAAUUUAAACC